rnacentral:miRNA from 1 species
UGCAUGGUUUCCUAGAACC